AGAGUUUGAUCCUGGCUCAGAAUCAACGCUGGCGGCGUGCCUAACACAUGCAAGUCGAACGCGAAAGGGGCUUCGGCCCUGAGUAGAGUGGCGAACGGGUGAGUAACACGUGGGUGACCUACCUUCGAGUGGGGGAUAGCGUCCCGAAAGGGACGCUAAUACCGCAUAACAUCCUGCCUUUGAAGAGGUGGAGAUCAAAGCCGGGGAUCGCAAGACCUGGCGUUUGAAGAGGGGCCCGCGUCUGAUUAGCUAGUUGGUGAGGUAACGGUUCACCAAGGCAACGAUCAGUAUCCGGCCUGAGAGGGCGGACGGACACACUGGGACUGAGACACGGCCCAGACUCCUACGGGAGGCAGCAGUGGGGAAUUGUUCGCAAUGGGCGCAAGCCUGACGACGCAACGCCGCGUGGAGGAUGAAGGUCUUCGGAUUGUAAACUCCUGUUGCCCGGGACGAAAUGCUUCGACCUAACACGUCGGAGUUUGACGGUACCGGGUGAGGAAGCCCCGGCUAACUCUGUGCUAGCCGCCGCGGUAAUAC
rnacentral:rRNA from 1 species